rnacentral:rRNA from 1 species
CCCUUAGAUGUUCUGGGCCGCACGCGCGCUACACUGAUGCAUUCAACGAGUCUAAAACCUGCUCUGAUAGGGGUGGGUAAUCUUUUGAAUGUGCAUCGUGAUUGGGAUAGAUGAUUGCAAUUUUUCAUCUUCAACGAGGAAUGCCUAGUAAACGCAAGUCAUCAGCUUGCAUUGAUUACGUCCUUGCCCUUUGUACGCACCGCCCGUCGCCCCUACCGAUUGAAUGAUCCGAUGAAUAUCAUGGAUUGAGGAUGCAAGCAGGUUCGCCUGUCUUCAUCUUCGAGAAGUGAAGUAAAUCUUAUCAUUUAGAGGAAGGAGAAGUCGCAACA